rnacentral:lncRNA from 1 species
CUUCCUGCAAACCACUACCUCACAAAAAAGACAAGAAUCCUACACCCCCAACCCAGACCCCUUCCUGGCAGGUCCUCAGGCUGGGCAUGGGCAGAGCAAAGACAGACUUGAGGAGGUAACCAGGGUGAAGGCAAACACUGGGCCAAAACCAGUGGGCAUCCUGAUGUGUGGAUUCCAAAGGGACCAGGCGAGCAGGGAGCAGUACUGAUGUCAGGGAGGCCGGAGGGAGACAGAGGAAGCCCGUAAUCAGGGAGCUUGGGAGCUGCCUGCUGGGCAGGGAGGAGCUGUGGACACCAAUCGGGCACUCUCAAGCCCUUCCCAGCCUGGCUGUCUCCCUCCUCUGGCCCUUCGGUGUUUCCCUUGGGAGUGGUGUGGGUCCCUACCUGGACUCAUCCUGAGGAAGCUGCCUCCUGGAGCAGGCAGGAUGCUGGAGCUCCGUGUGGCCGGCCCUGGUUCUCUGCGAAGCCGCUCCUGAGAGCCUGCCUAGUGCAGAAGUGCCCCGAGCUGGCUGCUCUUCCUGCCUAAAACGGGGCACUGAGCACAGGAGCCUCUGGAUCUGAUCCCCUGCCUGUUUUUGUACGGCUCUCAAGCUAGGAAUACCUUUUACAUUUUUAAAUGAUUGAAAAAAAAAUCCAAGUAAUCAUGGUGUUAAAAUGAUAUGAAAUUUGAAUUUCAGUGUCCAUAAAUCAAGUUGGGACACAGCUUCUCUCAUUCAUUUACAGUUGUCUAAGUUUCUGUCACUCUUCGGCAGCAGAGGUGAGCAGCCAAAACAGAGACUGCAUGGCCUGCAAAGCCUGAAAUAUUUACCGGCUGCUCUUUACAGAAAGAGUUGGCCGUUCACUACCCUGGAGUGUGGACCUCUGGGCGAGGAACCUGUAUCCGUAGCGCUGCCUUGCACGUCCAGGCUCACAGAUAUUCAUCCAAAAGAAAUAAAAAUAUAUGCCUAUAAAAGCCUUGCACAAGAAUGGACACAGAAGACUUAUUCAUUAAAGCUCCAAAGAGGAAACGGCCCAGGGGAAUAUCAACAGGCAAAUGAAGAAACAAAGUGUGCCGAAUCCAAGAAUCUGAUGAGUGUGAAGACACUGGAAGAACCUGAUCACGCAGGCUCCUUUCUCAAGCACCCCGAUGCCCGCAGGUGAAGGGGCACAUGCCAAGGACAAGCCCGCCUCAGCCCUGGACAUCGUUCAUCGCGCGAGUGAGCAAUGCUUGAGUGAGAAACCUGACAGCGGUGUCCCCAUAACUUCCACCGCCUCUGGAGCCACCCGGCAAAAGCCAGCGUCUGACAAUCCUUCAGUAAUAGUGAAGACACCUGUUAUAUUGCUGUCCAGCCAAAAGCUCCUUGUUGCAGGAUGAACAGCCCCAGUUGUUUCAAACAUGCCCCACAUCUCAUGGCCUCCACACAGGUCGUAUUAAACACCUCUAACAGAGACUGCACGCCAAGUGUGGCUCCUCAAAGACCUUGCCUGGGGACUCUGCCACUGAUGGCUGCGACCUGCACACUCCUGAGAGCUCCUUCCUGGAACUGCCUCAUUUCUCUCAUCAUCCUUGAUUUUUUGAGAUGGAGUCUCAGUCUUGCUCUGUCACCCAGGCUGGAGUGCAGUGGUGCGAUCUCUGCUCACUG